ensembl:lncRNA
CCCGGGGCUGCCUCCGCCGCGCCUCUUCCAUCAGAUGUGCAGUGCGGGGCGUCGGAGGCGCAGGGGCAGCCAGGGGCGUCGGCACGGGCAGGUCAGGGGAUGCUGGCUGCCAGCAGAGCGAGUUGCUGAGGAGCCCUGAUUCAGGAUGUGUCUCUUUGCUCAGCUCCCUGCUGGCCCCGGAGGAGUCCGAGUGCUCUGUGCUGGAAGAAGAGUCGUCGAGGCUGCUGGAGACAUCAGGGCUCAGUGGCUCUGUGGCAGUGAUGCGCUGCAUCAGCUCUUGCGUUUGGCAGCUGUUUGCAGUGGCUUUGGUCCCCUCUCUUGUGACACCGGGCAGGUCCUGCUUGUGCUGGGGGACCUCCAGAGCACUCUCCAGAGCCGCUUCUGAAAAAAGCAAGAACAUCCCCCCGAAUGAUGAUGGCAGCCUUCCCACAGCCACUCGGUGCAGGCAACCACCUCUGGGGGUCACCUCUGCGGAGCACAGUCUCACCGUCAAUCCAGGUGAGCAAACUGUCCAUUUCCACAUCAUCGUUGUCAAGUCUGUGGGUGCUGGGUGUCUCUUCUGGAAAAGGCAGAAAAUGCCCAGCGGGGCAAUGGCAAUGCCGGCUUUCCCACGCCCACUCAGUGCAGACACCCCCCCAGCAGCUCUGCUGCCCCUCCGAGAGAGACUCACCGUUGUUGAUCCACGUGAGCAGGUCAUCGAUGUCUGCGUCGUCGUACAGGAUGCCUGUCUUGGACGUCACUUCUGGAAAAGGCAGAAAAUGCCCAGUGGGGCAAUGCCAGCUUUCUUUCCCACACCCAGUUGGGGUGGGUGCGUGGGUGGCUGGGUGGGUGGCAGCAACCCCCCGCCAGCUCUGCUGCCCCCAAACUCACCGUCGUUGAGCCAUGCCAGGAGAUGCUGGAUGUCCGCCACGUCCUCCGGGAUGUCUGCGCUCGCUGUGGCUGCUGGAAAAGCAAGGACAUCCCCAGUGGGGCAAUGCCAGCUUUCCCACAGCCACCCGGUGCGGACAGCCUGCCGC